rnacentral:misc_RNA from 1 species
AACCUAGCACACCUGCGGUGUGUACCUGCGGAGGGAUCAUUACACAAUACAAUAUGAAGGCUGUCCGCAGCUGGAGUAUUUUAUUACCCUUGUCUUUUGCGCACUUGUUGUUUCCUGGGCGGGUUCGCUCGCCACCAGGACCACCAAAUAAACCUUUUUUAUGCAGUUGCAAUCAGCGUCAGUACAAACAAUGUAAAUCAUUUACAACUUUCAGCAACGGAUCUCAGAUCGGAAGAGCAC